rnacentral:tRNA from 1 species
GCACUCUAAGCUAACUUGGUAGAAGCACUGGCUUGAAACCCCAGAUGACUUGGUUCGAUUCCAAGAGUGUGCACCA